rnacentral:rRNA from 1 species
UGGGGAAUCUUGCACAAUGGAGGCAACUCUGAUGCAGCGACGCCGCGUGAGCGAUGAAGGCCUUCGGGUUGUAAAGCUCUUUCGGCAGGGACGAUAAUGACGGUACCUGAAGAAGAAGCUGCGGCUAACUACGUGCCAGCAGCCGCGGUAAUACGUAGGCAGCGAGCGUUGUUCGGAAUUACUGGGCGUAAAGAGUGUGUAGGCGGUGCUCUAAGUUCGGUGUGAAAUCUCCCGGCUCAACUGGGAGGGUGCGCCGAAAACUGGAGUGCUUGAGCGUGGGAGAGGAAAGCGGAAUUCCUGGUGUAGCGGUGAAAUGCGUAGAUAUCAGGAGGAACACCUGUGGUGUAGACGGCUUUCUGGACCACAAGCUGACGCUGAGACACGAAAGCGUGGGUAGCAA